rnacentral:piRNA from 1 species
UACUCUUCCAAACAUGCAGUGCUGGGCAGC